AACUGCGAUAAGUAAUGUGAAUUGCAGAAUUCAGUGAAUCAUCGAGUCUUUGAACGCACAUUGCGCCCCCUGGCAUUCCGGGGGGCAUGCCUGUCCGAGCGUCAUUG
rnacentral:rRNA from 1 species